rfam:Schistosoma mansoni, Puerto Rico, WGS project CABG01000000 data, contig: 0180
AUCCAGCUGACGAGUCCCAAAUAGAUCGAAAGGCGCGUCCUGAAC